GGUAAGGAGAAUAAAUAUAUUAAAGGCACCAGAUCCCAUCUGAUCUUGGAAGCUAAGUAGGGUUAGACCUCCUUAGUACUUGAAUGGGAGACCACAAGAGAAUUCCAGGCAUUUUAGGCA
rnacentral:rRNA from 1 species